UGGACACAACAAAAGAUGAUUAACCAAAGAAUUCAAUUAUUUCAAUAGGCAGCCGCACCUCAACGGAGCAACAUGUUAUAUAAAAACAAAAUAAACCCCCCAUGCAGACAAUAGCUAAAAGGAAUUCAACAAAACACACUACCUCAAUACAACACACCGACACUGUCAUUACUUCCAUUCUUUCUAUUUUGAAACCACAACUGCUAAUGUCUUCCAUUCUUUCUAUUUUGAAACCAUAACUGCAAACGUGUUUGGAUAAAGCGGUAAAAAAAAAAAAAGAAACCACUGUUUCUCAAUCCCAAACUGAGUCCUCAAUGUCUUACAUCAGGACACAUUUUAUAUUUUUGAAAAUAUGGGACAAGAAAAUGAAAAUGCUUCUGGUUGGGGUUUUUAAAGCUUGCAAUUAUAGACUUUUAUCAGUGCUUUCAAUGAAAUUAUACCAGGAUUGCACUCAAAACUCCAAGACACUUUCCUAAUAUUUAAACUAACUAAAAAUCAAUAACCAAAUGCUCCCAAAUAUUUCAAGAGAUUUAAUCGGACCAUGACUGCAAGUUAGUAUUCAAAUUACAUUGCUGUGAUAUCAAUUAGUAGUAGUUCUAGAAAAGAUCUAAAGUGAGAAGUUGCUCAAAUCAUCAUGAGUGUUACUGCCAGUCGGCGCUGUCUGUGAUCCACUACUGCAUCCCCAUCCCCAUCCCCAUCCAUGAGAUGUUACAGAAUUAAGCCAUGUGUUAAUUCUAAUUUGAGGAUUAACUGCUCAAGUAAUUAUUUCUAUCGGAAUGUUUUUAUCAUAUCACACAAACCCAAAGACGAGCAAACACCCAGUAGGUCACCAUAUUUAGAUCUCAUUGAGUAAAAAAAAAAUGAGCAUGGUUUAUAAAAUUAAUUAAAAGUCGCCGUCACUUAACGUGAAGGCGUCAAAAUUUAUAUGCCGUCAUGCAGAUCUAGCAAUGAAAUGUACGGAUCUGAAAGAGAAACAGUUAGGAGAAGUGAAUGUUAGUUAGUUACCGGCGAUGUAGGUGGUGGCGGGGGUCUCGAAGCCGGCUUGGCAGGUGUCGCAGUACACGCGUCCUUCAACCGAGAACGGUUUAGGGUUGGGCCGGACCGCGCUCACCAGAGCCGGCAGCACGCAUAGAGCGAUCAACAACAAUAUUCUAGCCAUUGUCUUAUGGGAGAUGAAGGAAGCUGAACAAGAUUGAAUAUUGAGAGCAAAUGAGUGAAUUCU
rnacentral:lncRNA from 1 species